CAAGAUAAUUGAGCUGUUGUUGUCCGUUCUCACCUCUCUUGCAACUUGUUUUUCUCUCCUUAAGUGUAAAGGGCAAUCCAGACGUGGACCCCUUGCUCACGGUGCCUAGAGGGAUAUUGGCUAUAGAUCACCGAUGAUACCUUACAAGGUUGAAACGUUCAUCUGGGGUUGCUGUAUCUCUCGUGCAGAGAGAACUUGCUGGCAU